GGGUUGUGAGGUUAAGCGACUAAGCGUACACGGUGGAUGCCCUGGCAGUCAGAGGCGAUGAAGGACGUGCUAAUCUGCGAUAAGCGUCGGUGAGGUGAUAUGAACCGUUAUAACCGGCGAUUUCCGAAUGGGGAAACCCAGUGUGUUUCGACACACUAUCAUUAACUGAAUCCAUAGGUUAAUGAGGCGAACCGGGGGAACUGAAACAUCUAAGUACCCCGAGGAAAAGAAAUCAACCGAGAUUCCCCCAGUAGCGGCGAGCGAACGGGGAGGAGCCCAGAGCCUGAAUCAGUGUGUGUGUUAGUGGAAGCGUCUGGAAAGGCGCGCGAUACAGGGUGACAGCCCCGUACACAAAAAUGCACAUAUUGUGAGCUCGAUGAGUAGGGCGGGACACGUGGUAUCCUGUCUGAAUAUGGGGGGACCAUCCUCCAAGGCUAAAUACUCCUGACUGACCGAUAGUGAACCAGUACCGUGAGGGAAAGGCGAAAAGAACCCCGGCGAGGGGAGUGAAAAAGAACCUGAAACCGUGUACGUACAAGCAGUGGGAGCCUCUUAAUGGGGUGACUGCGUACCUUUUGUAUAAUGGGUCAGCGACUUAUAUUCUGUAGCAAGGUUAACCGAAUAGGGGAGCCGAAGGGAAACCGAGUCUUAACUGGGCGUUAAGUUGCAGGGUAUAGACCCGAAACCCGGUGAUCUAGCCAUGGGCAGGUUGAAGGUUGGGUAACACUAACUGGAGGACCGAACCGACUAAUGUUGAAAAAUUAGCGGAUGACUUGUGGCUGGGGGUGAAAGGCCAAUCAAACCGGGAGAUAGCUGGUUCUCCCCGAAAGCUAUUUAGGUAGCGCCUCGUGAAUUCAUCUCCGGGGGUAGAGCACUGUUUCGGCAAGGGGGUCAUCCCGACUUACCAACCCGAUGCAAACUGCGAAUACCGGAGAAUGUUAUCACGGGAGACACACGGCGGGUGCUAACGUCCGUCGUGAAGAGGGAAACAACCCAGACCGCCAGCUAAGGUCCCAAAGUCAUGGUUAAGUGGGAAACGAUGUGGGAAGGCCCAGACAGCCAGGAUGUUGGCUUAGAAGCAGCCAUCAUUUAAAGAAAGCGUAAUAGCUCACUGGUCGAGUCGGCCUGCGCGGAAGAUGUAACGGGGCUAAACCAUGCACCGAAGCUGCGGCAGCGACACUAUGUGUUGUUGGGUAGGGGAGCGUUCUGUAAGCCUGUGAAGGUGUACUGUGAGGUAUGCUGGAGGUAUCAGAAGUGCGAAUGCUGACAUAAGUAACGAUAAAGCGGGUGAAAAGCCCGCUCGCCGGAAGACCAAGGGUUCCUGUCCAACGUUAAUCGGGGCAGGGUGAGUCGACCCCUAAGGCGAGGCCGAAAGGCGUAGUCGAUGGGAAACAGGUUAAUAUUCCUGUACUUGGUGUUACUGCGAAGGGGGGACGGAGAAGGCUAUGUUGGCCGGGCGACGGUUGUCCCGGUUUAAGCGUGUAGGCUGGUUUUCCAGGCAAAUCCGGAAAAUCAAGGCUGAGGCGUGAUGACGAGGCACUACGGUGCUGAAGCGACAAAUGCCCUGCUUCCAGGAAAAGCCUCUAAGCAUCAGGUAACAUCAAAUCGUACCCCAAACCGACACAGGUGGUCAGGUAGAGAAUACCAAGGCGCUUGAGAGAACUCGGGUGAAGGAACUAGGCAAAAUGGUGCCGUAACUUCGGGAGAAGGCACGCUGAUAUGUAGGUGAAGCGACUUGCUCGUGGAGCUGAAAUCAGUCGAAGAUACCAGCUGGCUGCAACUGUUUAUUAAAAACACAGCACUGUGCAAACACGAAAGUGGACGUAUACGGUGUGACGCCUGCCCGGUGCCGGAAGGUUAAUUGAUGGGGUUAGCGGUAACGCGAAGCUCUUGAUCGAAGCCCCGGUAAACGGCGGCCGUAACUAUAACGGUCCUAAGGUAGCGAAAUUCCUUGUCGGGUAAGUUCCGACCUGCACGAAUGGCGUAAUGAUGGCCAGGCUGUCUCCACCCGAGACUCAGUGAAAUUGAACUCGCUGUGAAGAUGCAGUGUACCCGCGGCAAGACGGAAAGACCCGUGAACCUUUACUAUAGCUUGACACUGAACAUUGAGCCUUGAUGUGUAGGAUAGGUGGGAGGCUUUGAAGUGUGGACGCCAGUCUGCAUGGAGCCGACCUUGAAAUACCACCCUUUAAUGUUGAUGUUCUAACGUGGGCCCCUUACCGGGGUUGCGGACAGUGUCUGGUGGGUAGUUUGACUGGGGCGGUCUCCUCCUAAAGAGUAACGGAGGAGCACGAAGGUUGGCUAAUCCUGGUCGGACAUCAGGAGGUUAGUGCAAUGGCAUAAGCCAGCUUGACUGCGAGCGUGACGGCGCGAGCAGGUGCGAAAGCAGGUCAUAGUGAUCCGGUGGUUCUGAAUGGAAGGGCCAUCGCUCAACGGAUAAAAGGUACUCCGGGGAUAACAGGCUGAUACCGCCCAAGAGUUCAUAUCGACGGCGGUGUUUGGCACCUCGAUGUCGGCUCAUCACAUCCUGGGGCUGAAGUAGGUCCCAAGGGUAUGGCUGUUCGCCAUUUAAAGUGGUACGCGAGCUGGGUUUAGAACGUCGUGAGACAGUUCGGUCCCUAUCUGCCGUGGGCGCUGGAGAACUGAGGGGGGCUGCUCCUAGUACGAGAGGACCGGAGUGGACGCAUCACUGGUGUUCGGGUUGUCAUGCCAAUGGCACUGCCCGGUAGCUAAAUGCGGAAGAGAUAAGUGCUGAAAGCAUCUAAGCACGAAACUUGCCCCGAGAUGAGUUCUCCCUGACUCCUUGAGAGUCCUGAAGGAACGUUGAAGACGACGACGUUGAUAGGCCGGGUGUGUAAGCGCAGCGAUGCGUUGAGCUAACCGGUACUAAUGAACCGUGAGGCUUAACCUUACAACGCCGAAG
rnacentral:rRNA from 1 species